CAAACGACUCUCGGCAACGGAUAUCUCGGCUCAUGCAUCGAUGAAGAACGUAGCAAAAUGCGAUACUUGGUGUGAAUUGCAGAAUCCCGUGAACCAUCGAGUUUUUGAACGCAAGUUGCGCCCGAAGCCAUUUGGCCGAGGGCACGUCUGCCUGGGCGUCACGC
rnacentral:rRNA from 1 species